GACGAACGCUGGCGGCGUGCUUAACACAUGCAAGUCGAACGGUGAAGGGAUCAGCUUGCUGGUUCUGGAUGAGUGGCGAACGGGUGAGUAACACGUGAGUAACCUGCCCCCUUCUUCUGGAUAACCGCAUGAAAGUGUGGCUAAUACGGGAUAUUCUGGGUCUGUCGCAUGAUGGGUCUGGGAAAGAUAUUGUUUCGGUGGGGGAUGGGCUCGCGGCCUAUCAGCUUGUUGGUGGGGUGAUGGCCUACCAAGGCGGUGACGCUUAGCCGGCCUGAGAGGGAGGAAGGUCAGAAUGGAGAUGAGGCACAGCCAAGAAUGGGAGGGAGCGGAGGAGAAGAGAAGAUUACAGGAGGGGGGCAAGCCUGAUGAAGCGGCGCGGGGGGAGAAAGGGAGGGGGUCGGGUUGUAAACCUCUUGCGAAAGAGAAGCAGGCGUGUAACUUGUGGGUGGGUUGACGGUAGCUGAAGAAGAAGCACCGGCUAACUACGUG
rnacentral:rRNA from 1 species